rnacentral:rRNA from 1 species
UACAGAGGUCUCAAGCGUUGUUCGGAUUCAUUGGGCGUAAAGGGUGCGUAGGUGGUGGGGUAAGUCGGAUGUGAAAUCCCGGGGCUCAACCCCGGAACUGCAUUCGAUACUGCCUUGCUCGAGUACUGGAGAGGAGACUGGAAUUUACGGUGUAGCAGUGAAAUGCGUAGAUAUCGUAAGGAAGACCAGUGGCGAAGGCGGGUCUCUGGACAGUUCCUGACACUGAGACACGAAGGCCAGGGGAGCAAACGGG